GCUGUGAGGCAUGCUGGAGGUAUCAGAAGUGCGAAUGCUGACAUAAGUAACGAUAAAGCGGGUGAAAAGCCCGCUCGCCGGAAGACCAAGGGUUCCUGUCCAACGUUAAUCGGGGCAGGGUGAGUCGACCCCUAAGGCGAGGCCGAAAGGCGUAGUCGAUGGGAAACGGGUUAAUAUUCCCGUACUUGGUGUUACUGCGAAGGGGGGACGGAGAAGGCUAUGUUGGCCGGGCGACGGUUGUCCCGGUUUAAGCGUGUAGGCUGGUUUUCCAGGCAAAUCCGGAAAAUCAAGGCUGAGGCGUGAUGACGAGGCACUACGGUGCUGAAGCAACAAAUGCCCUGCUUCCAGGAAAAGCCUCUAAGCAUCAGGUAACAUCAAAUCGUACCCCAAACCGACACAGGUGGUCAGGUAGAGAAUACCAAGGCGCUUGAGAGAACUCGGGUGAAGGAACUAGGCAAAAUGGUGCCGUAACUUCGGGAGAAGGCACGCUGACACGUAGGUGAAGUGAUUUACUCAUGGAGCUGAAGUCAGUCGAAGAUACCAGCUGGCUGCAACUGUUUAUUAAAAACACAGCACUGUGCAAACACGAAAGUGGACGUAUACGGUGUGACGCCUGCCCGGUGCCGGAAGGUUAAUUGAUGGGGUCAGCGCAAGCGAAGCUCCUGAUCGAAGCCCCGGUAAACGGCGGCCGUAACUAUAACGGUCCUAAGGUAGCGAAAUUCCUUGUCGGGUAAGUUCCGACCUGCACGAAUGGCGUAAUGAUGGCCAGGCUGUCUCCACCCGAGACUCAGUGAAAUUGAACUCGCUGUGAAGAUGCAGUGUACCCGCGGCAAGACGGAAAGACCCCGUGAACCUUUACUAUAGCUUGACACUGAACAUUGAGCCUUGAUGUGUAGGAUAGGUGGGAGGCUUUGAAGUGUGGACGCCAGUCUGCAUGGAGCCGACCUUGAAAUACCACCCUUUAAUGUUUGAUGUUCUAACGUGGACCCGUGAUCCGGGUUGCGGACAGUGUCUGGUGGGUAGUUUGACUGGGGCGGUCUCCUCCUAAAGAGUAACGGAGGAGCACGAAGGUUGGCUAAUCCUGGUCGGACAUCAGGAGGUUAGUGCAAUGGCAUAAGCCAGCUUGACUGCGAGCGUGACGGCGCGAGCAGGUGCGAAAGCAGGUCAUAGUGAUCCGGUGGUUCUGAAUGGAAGGGCCAUCGCUCAACGGAUAAAAGGUACUCCGGGGAUAACAGGCUGAUACCGCCCAAGAGUUCAUAUCGACGGCGGUGUUUGGCACCUCGAUGUCGGCUCAUCACAUCCUGGGGCUGAAGUAGGUCCCAAGGGUAUGGCUGUUCGCCAUUUAAAGUGGUACGCGAGCUGGGUUUAGAACGUCGUGAGACAGUUCGGUCCCUAUCUGCCGUGGGCGCUGGAGAACUGAGGGGGGCUGCUCCUAGUACGAGAGGACCGGAGUGGACGCAUCACUGGUGUUCGGGUUGUCAUGCCAAUGGCACUGCCCGGUAGCUAAAUGCGGAAGAGAUAAGUGCUGAAAGCAUCUAAGCACGAAACUUGCCCCGA
rnacentral:rRNA from 1 species